rnacentral:rRNA from 1 species
AGUGAACGCUGGCGGUAGGCCUAACACAUGCAAGUCGAACGGCAGCACAGUAAGAGCUUGCUCUUACGGGUGGCGAGUGGCGGACGGGUGAGGAAUACAUCGGAAUCUACUUUUUCGUGGGGGAUAACGUAGGGAAACUUACGCUAAUACCGCAUACGACCUACGGGUGAAAGCAGGGGAUCUUCGGACCUUGCGCGAUUGAAUGAGCCGAUGUCGGAUUAGCUAGUUGGCGGGGUAAAGGCCCACCAAGGCGACGAUCCGUAGCUGGUCUGAGAGGAUGAGAACCCACACUGGAACUGAGACACGGUCCAGACUCCUACGGGAGGCAGCAGUGGGGAAUAUUGGACAAUGGGCGCAAGCCUGAUCCAGCCAUACCGCGUGGGUGAAGAAGGCCUUCGGGUUGUACAGCCCUUUUGUUGGGAAAGAAAAGCAGCAGGUUAAUACCCCGCUGUUCUGACGGUACCCAAAGAAUAAGCACCGGCUAACUUCGUG